AUUGAACGCUGGCGGCAUGCUUUACACAUGCAAGUCGAACGGAGUGAUGGUGCUUGCACUAUCACUUAGCGGUGGACGGGCGAGUAAUGCUUUAGAAUCUGACAAUUAGUGGGGGACAACAUUCCGAAAGGAAUGCUAAUACCGCAUACGUCCUACGGGAGAUAGCAGGCGAACGUCGGACCUUGCGAUAAAUGAUGAGCCUAAGUCGGAUUAGCUAGUUGGUGGGGUCAAGGUCUACCAAGGCGAAGAUCUGUAGCGGGUCUGAGAGGAUGAUCCGACAGAGUGGGACUGAAACAGGGACCGAACUCGUUAGGGAGGCAGCAGUGGGGAAUGUUGGACAAUGGGCGGAAGCCUGAUCCAGCCAUGCCGCGUGUGUGAUGAGGGCCUUUUGGUUGUAAAGCACUUUAAACGGGGAGGAAGCUACUAUUACUUAAACUACUGUGUAAUGGACGGUACUCUAAGAAUAAGCACCGGCUAACUCUUUGCCAGCAGCCGCCGUAAGAC
rnacentral:rRNA from 1 species